UUUCGGAAUUGUAGAUCAUUCAUAUAAUUUGCAUGUUCCCAAAUGGUGCUUUGAUUUUCUUUUUUAGACUAAUAUUGCCAUUGUAUGGUUAUUUUGAACAGAUUAUGGAGACUGCAGCUCCUACCCAGUUUGGAGAUAUAUGGCAGAAAAUGGGGAAUGAAGAGAAGAAGGCGGCUGUUCUAGAAGAAGUGAAACGAAUGAACAAGCUUCCUGCAAACAGCGCUUAUGCUAGUCAUCGAUUGCGUGUACUCAACAAAAUUCUUCAACUGAUGUCUCAGCCGGUAUACAAUAAUUUGCUCAUGCAAUUGUUUAGACUCAGUCUGACUUAUUUGAAGUUUACCAUGCUGGUUUAGAGUAUUUUAGUGAAUUGUGUAAUUUUAACUCUAUGGUUUUGUUAGAUAUGAAAGCUAUUUUGCGUGUGUAAUAGAAUUUUGAUGCUCAUUUUCUCAUUGUUUUGUUUUUCUUUAUGUCAUUUUCAGAGGACCUCUUCACAGGAAAAGGAGCUGGAGUUACUUUUUGCUGGACUGUCCCUGUGAACUAGCUUCUCCUUUUAGUGGUAAACUUCACUCAUGUUUAUUGUUGGAAGGGUUGUGGGAUGGUGAUGGUCUGUAUGUCUGUCCAGUUUGCAUUUGUUAUUUGGUUGGUAUGGUUUCCCUGUUCUUCAGGAUUGGUUGCUCAAGGCGUUUGGUUUUCCGUUCAAUGAUUAUUUAAUGUGCCCAUUUGCAUAUCAUUGUCCAUUAUGUAUUUCUUGAGCACAUAGUCACAUAGACACCAACGUUCAAUGAUUAUUAGUAUGCCCAUUUGCAGAUCAUCUUCCAUUAUGUAUUUUUUGAGCAGAUAGACACAUAGACACCAAAUGUUCUUGCUGCAUAAAAGUCUUAACAUCCUUAGUCUUUUUGUCUUUAACUUAGCUGUUUAAGGGUGGACUAGAGUCGCAAUGGGUUUUAGGUGCAAAUCUUUGCCUAGCAAAAGAUUAGCAGCUCUACAUUCUUGUUGUCAAUAUGUUUUCAUUUAUUUCCAGGUCUAUCGUAUUUAUCUAAAGGAUGUAUCUGUUGCAAACUAUUCAAAGGUUAGAUUAUUGCACUUCUCAAUGACAAUUUCACCAAGCAAUUAGGGUCAGCCUCCGAAACUUUCUUCUGCCUUUCAUUUCCAAGUUUCUCAUUUAAAGUGAAUGCAACAAAAGCUCAACCUCAUCACCCACUUUAUGUUGAAUGUCCUCUCAUUUUAUUGGUGUGCAGUUUAUCCUGACAUUAUAAGAUGUUUCUGAAUAUUGUUCAUUAACUGCAAUAUUAGUCUUUCCUUUUCCUUCUACCUCAAAUGGUAAUGUAAUUAAUGUUUUCAUCUUCGAUCAGUUGCCUUCCUUGGCAUGACUGCAGAUGUUUUUUAAUCUACACUAUGCUAUUUUUACAAUAUGUAGUCACUGCCUUCAUUUUGUGAUUUUCUAUUUUUUCUCUUAAAGUAUUGCUCCUUAAGAAUUACAGAAUAUGAUUAUAAACUUUAUAAGAAUUACAGAAUUUAUCUUUCAGUGAGGAUGAGUUGAAGUUUCCUGAUGUCUGCAAGCACUUUCGGAGCAUGAAUAAAUAUAUUUCUUGAUAAAUAAUAUUUUUCUUUACGCAAUUGUCAAAGUGGUGAAGUUUAAGAAUCAGCUUCAACUCUAUUUAUAUUUGCCUUAUUCAAUUUGUUCAAUUUAAAUCUGGUGAAUUUAAAUACUCAUUAGUUUCUUUUAAAGGAUUGUGAACCGUUGUUCUUUCAGGUCUACUAAUAUCGUUGCAGUGCGUCAACCGCGAAGUAGUGCUGCUCUGAACAAAAGUGAUCCAACUGACUCCAUACUUUGUACACAAAUGUCAAUAUGUAUUUAGGAUGAUGAAACUUAGUGCUUGUAUAGGUCUUCUGCUGCUUUGUCAUUUGGCGUGCUCUGUAUGCUAGGUUUUUGAGGGCUUUCCUUGGCCAUUUUUGUUUUAAGUGGUCAUCUUCGGUUGCCAGUGUUGUGUAAUCUGGUGGUAACAAAACAGUAUAAGUUGAUGAUAUGUUUCUGAGAUCCUUCGAGCCUGGAAGUUGCUCCUGCUUUCACUUCUGUAUUCAGAUAGUGUUGAUUUUUUGAAGUUUGUUUGCGGUAGCAGGGUUUUUUUUUUUUUUUUUUUUAAUUUCAGCUAUUAUUUUUAAUAUCACUUGAUUUACAUGUAUUACGCGAAUACUGUAUACUGACAUUUAACGUGUCCUAGUCUAGAUAGAUUAGCCACUACCCCACCAGCCACAAGGAGUCUUAAUUUUCUCGAAACUCCUGGGUAUUAAAGGAGUUUUCCUACAAAUUAGGGGAUUCCCAUCUUGAAUAUACUUUUGAUUUUUGCCCUAUUUAAAGUGACUAAUAUACAAGGCCAAGGCAUAAACAAAAUCUUAAGCGCUAUUGAGAGAGUUCAAGUCCUUUGCAGUCUUAUUUCCCCUCUACAUAAAUUGUGGUCAUGGUUGUGUCACUGUUGUUGCUGCCAUUUUUAGCGCUGCCGUUGCCCGGUUCUUUAAUGCUUCUCCUGAUUAUGGCUGCGCUCUUUCGCUUCACCCCAUCGCUUCUAUUUUUGCCACUAUUUCUGCUGCCAUUGUCGACAACGCCUUGGAUGCUUCUCCUUGUUCCAGUUUUUAUAAUGGCUUGCCUCUAUUUCUCGGCCUCACCGCGGUCACAAGAACACCCCAAUUUUGUAUUCAUUUUGAUUUGAUUAAAAAAAAAAGUAAUUAAAUACAUUAUGUGAUUUACAUUGUCUCCUUAGAAACAAGAUCAUUGGCAAGAAUUGUACAUUUUUUUCCCCUAAUUUUACUAAUUAAAUACAUACGAGGUCUUUCGUUAGGCCUUGGUCUCAAAGUUAAUUCUAAAAUAAUUUGUUAUAAUCUCCCGAGUUCUUUCUCCAUCUCAUCUAUCACUUGUAUCUUUUUUUGAACUUCUUCUUUUCACUGGGGAGUGAUCUAGAUACAAUCUAUGCAACUGCAGAUUCACCUGAAAAAAUUUAACCAACUUAGACGGCAAAAUCCGGCAAGUCGCGGGCACAUUUCAAAUAACAAACUCGAUCACUGACCAUAAAAAGAUAUUUCUGAUAACGCAAACUCAUUAUUGUGUUUAUUCUAUUUGUCAAGUGCAAUUUUAUAUAAAACUUCACGUGCAAGUAUAAUUUACUCUCGUAUAUUAAACACUUCAGUAUAAUUUAAUAAAAAUUAAUCAAGGGCUUAUUGCAUGCAAACCAGGGACGUGCUUAAGGCCUUCGUUGACAGCAAUAUGAUUUAUGAAACUAAUCCCAACAGCUCUGCCACUUGAUAGGAUCUUCCCACCACCUCAGUACUAUAUAUAAAUUUUUUUCGGACAUUUGUGACAGCAUUAUGGAUAUUUGUAAAGACAGUUAUGCCGUCGACUGCCUUAGUCCAUAGUGUUAUGGACAGCUUUAUGGAUAUUGACAAUGUCAUCGUAAAUUCCCAUCUCGCUUGCUUCUUUUAAUUAGAAUGUGAAUCUCGUUGCUUUACGACUGAAAUUCUACACUAAUUAUACACAGCAUAGCAAAUUGUAGAUACAAUAAAACCUUUUCUAUAAUUAUAAUGUUGAGAAUAAUUUUUUUUGUUAUUGUUAUGAGGUGGUUAUAACUUAAUACGAUAUAUCCAAAAAAAAAAUUAUUGUUUUGCCUUAUUCAUCCUCAGUGCAAGUGAUAAAGAGAUAAAAACAUGCACUAUGUUAGUUGUUUGUUUAUUUUGGUUUGGAAUCGAAUGGACUAUUACAAGUUAUUAAAAUGUUCUCAGUUAAUCUUAUUAUAAUUAUUAUUAUUACUAUUAUUAUCAUUAUUGUUGUUGUUAUUUUAAUGUAUAUGAGAAUUUUUAUAUUUUAUUAGGGGUAAGAAAGUCACUCCAAAGAAUUAGAAUAUCAUUCUCAACCCCUCCUAGGAUAUGAGAUUUCCAUUACUCAUUUCCAAGUUUAGUGGAUCCCAUCAUUUCCAUUCCCAUUCUUUGAUUCAGAUUUGCAUAAUAAACAUACACAAUGGAAAUGAUUCCUCAUUCUCAUUCCUUAUUCCAAGAAAUAAAUACAUCAUAAUAAUUAAUUAAUGGAGCAUGUUAAAAUUAAUGUAUAGAUAUCAUAAAAGAGAUAGGUAUAAUUUAAAAAAAUAACAUAUAUUUUUUUUGUAAAAUCCAAAUAAAUUUUUAUUACGUGAAGUCAAGUUCCUAUAGAUGGGAUCUAAAAAUACCGUAAGUUAUUACAAUGUAAAGUUUAUUUUUAUUUAUAACUGGCUCAAAUUGAGAUUAUAAUUUUUUUAUGACUACCUAGAGGUUACUCCCAUAUAGAGUAUGAUUAUAGAGAUGUUUUAAUGGAUGUAAUUAUAUAUAUUAGGCUUUUAGAUUUCCCCAGACAUUUAUUCUUAUCUUGCUUAAAUCAACAAUUAAUUCUAGAUGCGUGAUUACAUUACUGAGGUUUUAUUUCCCAAGACAUUUUCUCAUUUUACUUAAAUCAACUACUAAAGGAUAAAGGCUUUAACUAGGCUUUGGAUUUUCAAGGUCAUUUUGCUAAAAUCAACAAAUAAUUAAGGAUAAAUGCUGUUAUUUAAUUCUUCUUGAACACUAUGUUUUGCAUCUUAACAAGUCAAAAGUAAAUUACAAAAAUAAGUAUCGACAAAGACCUUCUCACAAUUUCUUAAGAUUACUGAUUACUUUUCAGAAUUGUAUACAACAAUGCUACUUCGAUAAAAAUUGAGUUAAAAAAUUUUGACAAAAAAUUUGAAAAGACUAAAACACGCAAGUUAGUUAUAAACAACUUGUAAUGCGUGAAUGUGUGUGUUUAAGCCAUUGAUGUUGAUCAUGUUGAGGCUUAAGCUCUUCUGUUUGGUGAAAUUGAUACAUGAUGUACUAAGUAUCUAGCAUUGUCUAUUAUAUUUAGCAUAUUACAAGACAUGCAAAUCAAACGGCUUAUGGUCUCAGCCAAGAUUGCAUUAAAGGUUCAUGAAUUAGUGAUUUGGCUGGAGGAUUUUCGAACUCAAUUUUUGAAUUCUUUGUGACCCCGUUUUGCUUUUUGAAUAAAAUUCAUCCAUUAAGCCAAAGAAAAAUUAAGUAAUAUUAAAAUUUUAUUAAAUAUAACAUGUUCUUAAUUUUAGAUUAUAUGAAAACAUGUAUUUUUAAAUAUUCUAAGUAGUCUCGUCAAAGCCCUGUAAUCUUGGCAGAUCCAACUCAUGUCCCUGCAUUAAAUGAACUCAUUCCCCUGUAAUCAUCCAUCAGGAAAAUUUUCAGAAACAUUCUUCAACUUGCAGGGAUGUCAAGUUGAAUAAAGUAGAAUUAACAACACAACAUCGAAUAUGUUGACUUAAAAAGCAAGACCAUUCAGAAGCUGAAAGUUUACAAUUACAUAACAUGCUGACACAAACAUGGUACCCUGAAUUAUAUAGCAAGAAGACUCAACAAUGACAAUCAAGUUCAUCACAGAAUAAAUCUGUGAUUGUGCAGAAGGAUAUCUAAUUUAUACAGAUACAGCAUACAAUGACUUAUUGAGGGACCAUUUUGUUUAACAUACUCAAUACUAACGGUGGUUCCUUGAUCUAAUCUCAGGAACAAUUAGGCCAUCCAAGAAAUGAUUACUCAUAAACUCUGUCAUCAUGAAAGCUCUGAUCACAUCUUCCGGUUUUUGAUGCAAAUCAAGUGUGCUCUUGGACUUUAAUUCCACUGUUGGCUUUUGUAUCUCAGUUUUGUCAAGUAAUUUCUCAUAAUCACGGAGUUCUUUCUCCAGUCUUUCAACCUUAUCUUUCAGUUCCAGCAGAUCUUUAUUCUUUUGCAGCUUUGUCUUAUCAUUGGGGAGGGAUCGAUAUACAAUGUUGGCAACUGCGGAUCCACCUGAAAAUAAUUAUCCAUUUAGAAGGGAAACUAACAAGUCACAUCAUGCCAACACUUUCUAUCUUUACAGAGAGUCAGAGAGCGUGUGCGCCAUAAGCAAGGCAUUUUGAAGUUACAAGUAAUUAAGACAGCAUUUGCUACAAGUGAAAACACAAACUAAUUUACAGAACUUAUAAACUCUGAUGCCAUUGGCGUUCUGGUGCAGGGUAUGAUGAGAACCCCACCAAUCCAAGUCCAAAAGAUCUCUAAAGACUUAUCGAGUGGCACUGGGGCCCGUUUGGGGGCAUUGCAAUGGCAAACUAACAUAGAAUCAUCUAAAAACAACAGCCAGAACUGCAUGAAAUAUUUUGCUAACGAAGAAAUGUAACUGAAAUAGUAGCAACUAAUCCCUCUAUCAUGCAUAUUUCACUUCUCUGGUGAAAGGCAGGCACAAAGUCCCCUUACAAAUGGAAGUGACAAGACCUAUGCCAAAGCCAAGAGGUUCGUCUUGUCUUUCCUAGAAACAACCUGAAUAACUAACUAUUGCUAGAUAUCCAGCAUUAUGAACCAACCAAUUACGAUGUAAACCAAUUCAUAAUGAGAUCACAUACCGCAGUUUGUGAGAUUGAAAAAUCCCAAGUGAACAACUUGGUCACAUUCAUCCUUAUAGUACGGACGAAACAUCCUCGUAAGUCGUAACAAUAUCAAAAAAGAAAUCACUUAUCCUUAAACUAUUUUCAGACAUCAAUUAAUCAUCUAGCAUAUAGAAAGAAAACAAAAGCAAAUAAAUAUUUUUUUAAAAAAUAUGAAAACAAAUAGCGAGUAGUAAUAGUAUCAUAAAAUAAAAGGUUGCAUGCAAACCAGGAACGAGCUUAAGUCCCUCGUUGACGGCGAAAGAGGCGGAGUUUUUGACCAAGUUGGUGGCGAUCUCUGACCUUGUCUCUUGAUCGGGCAAGUUCUGGUUAACUUUCUCGACGACAGCUUUGCCGUUGACUGUAACGGCGCUAUGGAUGUUCGUAACAGCAGCACGGCUGUAAUCGUAAGAAUACCAGCAUAUGCCCUUAACAGCGGUUAGAUUCGGUGUGUUGCGUUUAAUUGAAUCCACUGUCGCAGACAUGUAAUCGUAGAUUCCCAUCUCUUUCCCUCCUCUCUUCUUUCUCUCUCAGUCCCAGGAGAGUAAAGCAAGAGAAACAACUGGGAAAGUUAUACCGUUGCUGCAGAAUUUUUAUUAUAUAGGUCUGCUUAGGGACGGCAAUUGUACCCGCAAACCUGUAAACCCGCCUAAAUUUACCUGUCAAAACCCACCCGUUGCGGGUAAUUUUAUCCGUUGCGGGCGAGUUUAGUAUUAUAAAUUAAAACCCGCAUAUGGAUGCGGGUGGGUUUGGUAUUAACCUUAUACCCGGUGGAUACCCGCAUGGAUAUCCACCAAACCCGCAAUAAUUUUUUUCAAAUAUUUUUAAUUUAAUUUAAAUAUAAAAAUAUAUAAAGAAAAUAAUGUAAUUAAUCAAAUUACCAAAUAGCAAAAGGCUCAAAGUUGUGUAUGUGUGUAUAUGGCUCAUCUCUUAUUCUAAAGUCAUAACCUAAAGAAAACUAAAGGCAUUUCCCUUUGAAUUAGUAUUUGAAAAUAUUAAUCUUAAUUAUUAUUUUAGGCAUUGUGUUAGAUGGGUGCUUAUGGUGGUGAAUAAAAUAAAUAUAUUCUCUUUGAUCUUGUUUUAAAUGAUAAUAUGAAAUGUAAUUAUUAUUUUUAGAUAUUAGUUUGUGUUUUUUAAAUAGAUUUGUAUAAUUUAUACUUAAAUUUGAGAAUUUGUGUUGAAUUGAUGUGGAAAUUUUAAUUUUUCAUUUACACUGUUUAAAUAUAAAAUUGAAUAUGUUAUAUGGAACUUGAGGUUAUUAUUAUAAAUUUAUAUAUUAAAUAUUUGUGAUUUUAAAUACGGAAACCCGCAAAAAAUCCGCCGGAUACCAUUGCGGGUUUGGUAAUUGUUAAAACCCGCUGUGGGUGGAUUUUUUUUAAAAAAUUAAAACCCGCUGCGGGUUGCGGGUGGGUUUGGUAAUUUAAAUUUUGUGCGGGUUUGGGUUUGAUAAUGGCAAACCCGCUGCGGGUGGUGCCCAUUGCCAUCCCUAGGUCUGCUACUUGGUGUCCGUGGCAUUUAAAAAGCAAAAAUUUCCCAACACCAAUUGACUAAUGUUAAUUCGUGAAGAUUUUAUAAUUUAAAAGUUAUAAUGGCUCAUUUCUAAAAUGUUUAAAUAAUGUUGCCAAUGUUGGUAAAGAAAAAUUUUUUCACCGGAAAUAUUUAGAUCGCGUUUCUCAUACAAUAUAUAAAGUUAUCAUAAUAUAUAAAUUGUAUAUUUACAUUUUCGUAAUAUAUUAAAUUUCAUAUGUGAUCUAAUUUGACGUACGUCUGUAAAUUCAUACAUGAUUAAGAUAAAUUAUUUAAUAAAUUUACUAUAUUGUAAACAUAAUAAAGCAUCCAACUCUAUUUAUCAACUGCGAACUUAAUUUAUUUAAUUAUAAGAUAAUUUCUAUUUUUGUCUUUUGUGAAUACAUAUGAUGAUCACAUACAAUACAUAAAAUAUGAUUAAACAGAAUUUAUUCAAAAUAUUUAUAUAAUUAAGAUGUCAAAAAAUGUCUCGAAUAUUUUAUUAAUUAGAAAAUAAAUAAAUUAAUAUACUUUAGAGAACACAUAAUCCUAAUAGCCAAAAUUCUUAUAAAAUACAGCUAGGUACAAUAUUUUUAGAAUUAUGUGCUUAGAUACCAGUAUAUAAUUAAAAAAAAUCAACAAAAAUCAAUAAAAUAUGAUCAUUUGUUGGUGUCUAAGUUCUAGGGUAUGGUAUCUAUCGAUACUAUAUUAACAACUAACAAAUUAAGUAUACAAACUAUUUGUGAGAAAAUUUCAAUAUAUUCUUACUUUGAAAAAUCCUCUCAAUCUCAUGAUUCGAUUAUUGUUUAAUUUUUUUAAAGAUUCAUUGACAUCUGACAUUAGUAAAUUCGAUGACUAAUUAUGAAGAGAGGAAGAGUUGGUGAUGAUGAGAGAACAAAUUUAUAGAGGCAAGAAUUAUAGAGCGAAGUGGGAAAAAUUAGUCAUGAUACAGAGUUUUAAGGAAUUAAAAUGCAUCAUUUAAGAGGUUAGUCAAAAUAAUUUGGAAACAAAUCCUGACUAUUGAAUUAAAUAAUAUUACAUGUUAAUUGAUUUUAACAAAAUCUGAUCAGAAUAUGAAAGGAUCUAAACCUACAACUUAGAUUUCUUUAUAUAAUGAAACAAAUUAACAAAAGGAAAUAUACAGUAAAACCUAUUUACCUAAUAACUUUAAAAAAAAAUUCUUUUCUAUUUUUUAACAUUAUUCUUUUCUCUUUUCUAUUUUUUCAGAAAAUUAUUGAAAGAUUUUAAAAUAAAGAAAUACUUUAGAACUUUUUAGGUAAAUAAAAGAAGUAUUUAAGUAGUGUUAGAACCAACACAGUAGAAGGCGCGUAUAUCUCCUCCGUCAUGGGGAUGGCAGACGCCGUUAAGGUCGACAGAGAUCACCAUCCAAUCAGCAAUUUGAAUCGUCGAGCGAAGAUCGGAGGAUUCCUCAAAAUUUUCACCGAAUUGGCCCUCGAUUCCGCCCUCAACGUCUCUGUCAAAGGCGUCACUGGUUAGUACUGCCUUUUCUCCGUUUAUGCUUUUGUACUAAUUUAAUUUAUUUUCAAUAAAUUUCGCAUUAUUCCGUUCUGCAUUUCAAUAUUAUCUGAUGAAGUUAGCUUUUUUGAGAUUGAUAGAAUUUUGUAUUUUCCUGUAUUUUAAUUAAUUAACACUCUAGAGUAGAAAAUUUACGGUCAUAACUGAAAUAUUCAUUUUGUUGAAUUUAUGCGGAUCCGUAUUUGUACGGUUCGACUUCAGAUUCUCUGUAAUGUCCAGUGAUUGUUGAGACUUGAUUCUGACUGAAAUUCAUUGUAAUUCUUUGAAAUUCAAUGUUGCAAUUUUGUAAGCAGGUUAGGUUUGUAGUGCGUCUUAGUUUAAGCGCAAGAAGGAUGCCUCUCCAUUGUUUCUGAAUUUGGGAAAACUAUCUUAACAUGGAAAGAAAGUAAUCAAAUGAUGACGAAAUGUAGAUGCUAAUAUGCGGUUAUUUGCCUGGAUUAUGUACAACAGUUUAAGGGAUUUUUUAGCAGUUUUGUGAUGAAGCAUUCAUAUGAUAGCUUGUUAGUUUUUGUUCAUAUUGUCCUUUUGGGAGCCAAUAAAAAUAUGAGAAUAUUUUUGUUCAUCUACAAAUUGAUAACUAUAUGACCAUAUACUCAUGUUCUGGACUUUUGGAAUCGUCUUGUAUGACCUCUUGUGUCAAUUCAGUUAUAUCAGAAUGCACAGCUCUUCAGUCAUUUUGCUUUAUAUUUGAUCUGUUUUGGGUUGUAAAUGCUUUGUCUUUGUGCUUCUGUGAAAGAGCAGGCGAUAUGUUUGAGAGUGGAGAACCUGAUGGAUUACAUUUACAAAUUAGAUAUGGAUUACAUCAACUGCAAGAUGUGUUUAGCGUUUGUUUCUCUAGAUAUGGAUUACAUUUACAAAUUAGAGACUAGGCCUGCUUAUAGGCACCUGGUCAAACUUACACAUACAGUUGUUGGACUGGGAUUUGUAACUUUGAGCAUUGAUAAAUAUUACACAAAAAUUUGUUUUGCCCAUUUAUGAGUUUGCAGGUGGGAAGAAAGUGUAUAAGAUUGUGCUGGAUGGAUUGAAGUAUCAACCACGUCCCCUCUUGUUAGAUGAUAAAAAUAAAUGCAAAGAUAUUGAAUCAGCAAAGGAGAUGCAAGCAAAGAUGGAAGAAAUGCAGGAACUGAUAAACAACGUAGAGCCACAAAACAAGACAUCAGUGAAACCUACUAAAGGAUCAAUUCCUCAGAAGAAGAAACCAAAUGAAGGCAUCAAGGGAUCAGAUCUUCCGAAAACCAAGGAGAAAAGAAUUUUCAUUCGAUCCAGGCUAUAAAAUGGGGUUAAGUUCACUAACCUUAAAAUUGAUCAUAUUACAUAAUUAAUACAAUAUAUAAUAUGAUUUACUGUAGAUAUAUCAUGUUACAGUGAUUGCUGAUUGUAUAUGAAGCCUUAAUGAUAUCUUGGUAAUUUGCGUUUUGUUCUCUCACUCUUUUUCUUAUUUUUAUUGUUUCAUAAACAAGUUUGUUCUAUGAACUAAAACUGGAAGUUAUGGAGACCAAAAUGCUGUAGGCAUUUAAACAUGUGAUUCUUGAAAGAACGCCAAAAGAACAGGGAAUAGUAUGUUUUGAAUGUUGUAAUUUUAGUUUGGGUUUGCGGUUGUGAGAAUGCCUUUAUAAGGUGCUUCUAAAUAGAAAUGCUUAAUAAGGUGCAUUUAAAUAGGAAUGCUUUGUAUAGGUCCGGUACUCUUUGAUCAACAUCAACCGUGAGAUAACUUAUUUAUCUUGUAUACAUAAUACAAAACUCAAUUGCUUAAAAUUUUAAAUCAUGAUAACUUAGUACAAAAUAAUGAGAAAAAUUUAAAUUGGGUGUGGGUAGGUGCAUUAAAUUAUUAGUGUUCAUCAAGUAAUAUUUUCAGAUAUAUACUAAUCACUUUGAAAUGGACCAAUAAUAAUAGAUGGAGAAAAGUAAUUUAAAACACAUGAUAUGUAUUUAUUGAAUGGUUCUAUUGAGACGGUUUCAUAUUUAUUUUUUUACCUAAUAUUAAAUAAGUAAAUAAAAAUAUUACCACAAAUUAAUGAUGGGUUAAAAUUUCUAAAGCCGGUGUUGGAAUCAGUUUCAUCCUUGGGAUGUUGAAUUUAGGUUCUUCAUAAAAUCCCAAGUCAUAAUUGAGAUUUGAUUCCAUGGCCAGUCUUGUUUUAUUGCCAUAAUCUUUUUAAGUAUUGAAGGAAAAAAAAAAUCUUCUUUUUUGCUUUCUUUGUUGGUGUUUUGAAUUCAUUCAUUGUGUUUGAUUAUAUUCAAUUGCCCAUACCCAUUAAUCAUUAGUUCUGAAUGGAAGUAUAGAUAGUGACAAAGAAGAUUUUUGGUUUGUAAUGUGAAGAAAAAAAAAAAAAAAAAAAAAAAGAAUUUUGAGAAAAUUGAGUAGUAACUUGCAAAAUUAAAAGUAACUUAAUGAACUACUAGUAAAAUUUACUCGUUCUUUGUUAAUUUUCUAGCCCAAAGAAUUGUUUCGGAAUUGUAGAUCAUUCAUAAAAUUCGCAUGUUGCCAAAUGGUGCUUUGAUUUUCAUUUUUAGACUAAUAUUGCCAUUGUAUGGUCAUUUUAAACAGAUUAUGGGGACUGCAGCUCCUACCCAGUUUGGAGAUAUAUGGCCAAAAAGGGGAAUGAAGAGAAGAAGGCGGCUGUUCAAGAAGAAGUGAAACGAAUGAACAAGCUUCCUGCAAACAGCGCUUAUGCUAGUCAU
rnacentral:lncRNA from 1 species